AUGACAAUAAACUCUAGAGCUGUAAUUGGGCCUUAAAAGUUAGACCUAACAAGGCCCGAGCCUGACAAGUACAUUUUGAUUGAGAGCUUUUUAAAAGCACAAACCAGUUUACAGCCCAAUAUUAUUGAAAUGUGUGCAGGCACACAGCUCUUUUGCCUUUUGUCAAGAAUGGGUCAUUUAUAUAUUUUUUAACAUCAUUUAUUCAUCACU